rnacentral:rRNA from 1 species
GAUCAUGGCUCAGGAUGAACGCUGGCGGCGUGCCUAACACAUGCAGGUCGAACGAGGUAUUUUGAUUGAAGUUUUCGGAUGGAUUUCAAGAUGCCGAGUGGCGGACGGGUGAGUAACGCGUGGGUAACCUGCCUCAUACAGGGGGAUAACGGUUAGAAAUGACUGCUAAUACCGCAUAAGCGCACAGUACCGCAUGGUACGGUGUGAAAAACUCCGGUGGUAUGAGAUGGACCCGCGU